GGCAUGUGCACGCUUGUCAUCUUUAUCAUUUCUCCAACUUGUGCACAUAUUGUAGGCCUGGUAUUUUCAAAUUUGAAGUUUGAGGGACUGCUGUGCUUUGUCAAAAAAAAAAGUCGGCUUUCCCUUGUAUUUUCCAGGUCUAUGUUGAUUUUUCACAACCACUAGAACAUGUUUUAGAAUGUUGAAUAAGACCCAUAUAAUAAACAACUUUCAGCAACGGAUCUCUUGGCUCUCGCAUCGAUGAAGAACGCAGCGAAAUGCGAUAAGUAAUGUGAAUUGCAGAAUUCAGUGAAUCAUCGAAUCUUUGAACGCAUCUUGCGCUCCUUGGUACUCCGAGGAGCAUGCCUGUUUGAGUGUCAUUUGACUUCUCAAACCACAACUUGUUUGUUUGUGGCUUGGAUGUGGGGGAUUUUGCAGGCUCAACAAAGGCCAGCUCCCCUGAAAUGCAUUAGUGGUGUCUGAGCUGCUAUUGGUGUGAUAAAAUUAUCUAUGCCUAUUGCUGGUCAGUGCUGCUUGGAGGGGAAACCAUUUGACAAAUUGC
rnacentral:rRNA from 1 species